rnacentral:rRNA from 1 species
UACGAAGGGUGCAAGCGUUAAUCGGAAUUACUGGGCGUAAAGCGUGCGCAGGCGGUUUGGUAAGACAGGCGUGAAAUCCCCGGGCUUAACCUGGGAACUGCGUUUGUGACUGCCAGGCUAGAGUACGGCAGAGGGGGGUGGAAUUCCACGUGUAGCAGUGAAAUGCGUAGAGAUGUGGAGGAACACCAAUGGCGAAGGCAGCCCCCUGGGUCGAUACUGACGCUCAUGCACGAAAGCGUGGGUAGCAAACAGG